rnacentral:rRNA from 1 species
UACGAAGGGGGCUAGCGUUGCUCGGAAUCACUGGGCGUAAAGCGCACGUAGGCGGCUUUUUAGGUCAGGGGUGAAAUCCUGGAGCUCAACUCCAGAACUGCCUUUGAUACUGAGAAGCUUGAGUCCGGGAGAGGUGAGUGGAACUGCGAGUGUAGAGGUGAAAUCCGUAGAUAUUCGCAAGAACACCAGUGGCGAAGGCGGCUCACUGGCCCGGUACUGACGCUGAGGUGCGAAAGCUAGGGGAGCAAACGGG